CAACUUUCAACAACGGAUCUCUUGGUUCUGGCAUCGAUGAAGAACGCAGCGAAAUGCGAUAAGUAGUGUGAAUCGCAGAAUUCAGUGAAUCAUCGAAUCUUUGAACGCACAUUGCGCCCUUUGGUAUUCCAAAGGGCAUGCCUGUUCGAGCGUCAUU
rnacentral:rRNA from 1 species